rnacentral:lncRNA from 1 species
AAAUUACAUGUUUUAAUCUAGGCGAAAAGGAAGGGAGGGGGACUGAAAUCCUAAAAGGGGGAUGGUUAAAAGGAUGUGCAGGAAGUGGAAAGUACAAACUUUUUGAGCUCAAAGAGCUCAACAGGGCGGAUAAGAACACAAAGGAAGUAAUAACAAAAUAAAGUAAAAGGGAAAAGGGUCUAGAAACUGUUCUUAAAAAAACAAAAACAGCAACAAAAACCUCUUUCCUUUUUCCUAGACACGUAAACAGUAGUAACUUGGCAAAGAGGAACGGACGAGACGACAGCACAACUUCCUUCCCAAACUCCAGCAUUCCUUGGACGUCCUCACCAGCACAGUCAGGCUUGGGACAUUUCCUAGGCAAGGCUCCUCCCUGCACCACAGCCUGAGGAACCUCUGAGCAGGGACUAUCGCUGCGGGAGAGAGGAAGUGGCGGAUGCAGGGACAGAAGAUCAGCAAUACAGGCUGGACACCAAACCUGAGGGUGGCCCACUCGCAGACUCAGUCGAAAAGACUCGGAUCCUGCAGUCCCUUUCCCCACUCAAUGCAUUCACAACCGGGAGGGUGCCGCCCUGGGAGGGCCGGUCCCACCUCUUCACCCGGCUGUUUCGGGGGCACACUCAGGGUGACAAGAGGGACGAGGGGGUAGAAAUCCAAGGCCGAGUACCUGGGUAGAGAGAGAUGGCACACACAGUCUAAGGACAGGAGUGCCCUGUGAGAGUACGGAACAGCGAACCCCAGAGGCAACGUGUCCGGCCGGGCAACCAGCUCCAAGCAGCCUUACCCCGCCUCCUUCCCAGCCGGGCAGCUCCGCCCUCACCUGUCUGCAGGGAAGCCGGCAGCACUCACGUCGAGGAUUAUCCUCGCCUCUGCUCCCUGAAGUCGCCUCAGCCCUGGCCAGAAGUGAGCGGAAACGCGACCUGGGCCUUUUCCUUCUUCCCCUCCCGCCACGCACCUCGGCUCCUCCGGGGCGGGGAGCAAACUGCAACUGUCACAGCCUCACACUGUCCAACCUCCGACGCUACUCGGACCGGCAGCCUCUCCACCGGCGGCGGCCUACAGCUCCUGCACCCGGAGCAGCGGAGCCGGAAGUGAGGGGACCGGAAGUAGCGUUGUCCGUGGCCCUGGACGGCCUCUCUCUCCCUCAAUCUGGCCAGCCCAGCCACGUCUCGAUGGUGCCAGCGCACCUUCCGCGAGGUCCCCUCUCCAGGGGGGCGGGCCCCGUCCCGCCCACUGCGGCCCUAGCAACCACAUCCGGGACUCAGCCGGCGCCGUUGCCCGGAUGGUGA